rfam:Xenorhabdus doucetiae str. FRM16 chromosome, complete genome.
CGUUUAUCUCAGGGCAGGGUGAAAGUCCCUACCGGCGGUAACAUAAAAUAGCGUGAUCAUUUUAUGCAGCCCGCGAGCGCUCUGUUUGUUGCUCUCCUUGAAGAGAAAUCGUCGGGGAUAAAACAGAGGUCAGCAGAUCCAGUGUGAUUCUGGAGCCGACGGUGAUAGUCCGGAUGGGAGAGAAUAACA